CUGAUGAAGUUCUUAAAGGUAUCCAUGAGGUGCCUGACCCAUCUUUGCUCAGCCUGACACCCGUUCUCCAGCCACAGGCAGGGGUGCUGGCAGUAACCUCGAUCAGUGAUGCCAGUGUCUGGCAGCUGUGGGAGUGCAAGCCUGACCUCAGAGCUAUCUACUCCACUGAGGAUGCAUAGGGUGUUGCUGUUGUGUGGGUCUGAUGCUUGGGCUUUGCAAAUACUGCCCCGGGCUCUUUUGACUUGCAGGUGCAAGUGAGACUGAGCUGAUGAAUGUUUGGGGAAAUGGAUCAUCUUGUGUUGAGGUUUUUUUUGAUUGCAUGGGGUACUUUGACAAGGAAACCAGAGUGGACAGAGGGGAAUGAGGAAAUCAGUAAACCAGUACUGUCUGAGUUAAGGUAGAGAGGACCUCUGUCAGUAGCUCAUUUCAUGAACAUCUUGUGGGGCUGUAAUGUCCCAAGUCCUAAGGUGAAGAAUUGUGGCUAGCAUACAUCUGGAAGCCAGGAGCACAAGCAGAGACAGUUACGGGCUGGAUGCAGAGGAACUGGAUGAAAUAAUGUUUGCAAUGAUUGCUUUGGUGUUACGGUUCACCCAGCUCCUUAUGCCUCACAGCACUCCUCACUGCAUGAGGAUGGCAACCUCUACCCUGGGGCUUCUCCAGGAAGUAGUCAGGAUGAAAAUAAUUGUUCCUGUUUCAGGACCUAGAUGAAGUAUUUAUGUGGCCCUCUGUUCUCCAGGUAUGGCUGCCUGACUAGGGAGUGUGUGGUGGUGGUGGGGAAUUGGCUUGGCUCCAAAGAAAGAUCAGGAAUUGUGGAAGAUCUAGGUGAUAUAAGCACUCGUUCUGUAGCUUGGUUUCCAAAACAUGGAUCUCCUGUGAUGCGAAAUGGAAGCUGGUUUUAAUAACAUGAACUGUGGGGCAGACAGUACAUGUAGCUGUGGGUCCUGGAGUAACUUCAGGGAUGCUGCAGAUGUACUGUAAUAUAGAUGAGCUGCAGGAUGGUGUCCACAGCCUGAUCUGUGUGUGGAGGUAAGGGUGUUGUUUCAGAGUCCAGAACAUCUACUCUUCAGUGUGGAUGGGGUCAACCUGCUCUAGAAGCACAGUAUGUUGAGUAGUCCACAUCAGCUGACCCUGGUGCUAUACUUGUGUUGCUGUCUUCUGAAACUAGUUUCCAGUUUUAAGUUGAACCCUCUUGUUAGACCCUGUGUUACUAGAAUUUUAUCUAGAUGUGAGAGAAGACAUUUUAGAUGGUUAGCUGUUGAUGAUACUGCCUUCAUCUCCUGCUGGCAUGGAAGUGAAUAUGCUAAAUGUGAAAUAGGAAAGAUGAAGUGAGCCUUGUCUGAAGGGUCCCACUUGACUUUAAUCCACUUCACUUUAGCACCUGGCACUUACAAGAUCUUUUUAGCCUUGAAUGUGCAGGAUUUUGGGUAGUGAUCUAAUGAAAAUUUGUGUAUUAUGCCCACAGGGCAGGAGUAACAUACCUUUCUCUUCUGCCAUGCAACAAUAGGCACUUCAGAGAACUCAAAUUAUAAAGCAGAGCUGAAAUGGCUGUCAUGGGGCAGUGUUCACCAGACUCCACCUGGCUGAAUAGGGGAACCCACUGAAAUGCCACGAUGGUAAUGCUGAGCAUGCAGAGCUCCAGCUGAGGAAGAAAAUUACUCUCUGUUCUGCCCAAAUUCCUUAAUGAAUACGAACAAUGAUUUUGAUUCAGUCUUUGUGAUUUAACAUGUACAUUGGUGACAUGAAAGUUGUUUUAAUAGGGGUCUUUGGCCUGUCAAGCAGCUAACCCAUGCUGGGGUUGAUGGUUCCGCUACCUCUUGGUUGCUCAGACUUGGAGACAGGCGGGGAGGCGGGGCAGAUGGAGUGCUCCAUGUGUUGCCAGAUCAGUAUGCAGAUGUUAUCACUUGUGUACAAAUAAGUGAAAUAAGUACCUGUGUAGGUGGAGCAUAGCUUGCUUCUGCUAGGAGCUGAAUGCAGAGCUUGUGGCUUGUUGGUAGAAGUGUUAUUAAAAUCAAGAAACACAUUGUCUCCUCUUCUUAUACCCCUCUCCACCUGUGUUUUUUCUCCUUUUGAUGAUACUCUGUUCCAGUCCUUCUAGUUUUCCCAUUUGGCAAUGACUAUAGUUAUUAUACUUCUACUUGCUUUGCAAGUCUCUGUCAGUUCAUUUUAGUCUGUGCAUACAAAAAACAUUUUGCAACCCAACGACUUUUUUUGAAAUGGUAAAAUCCUUUUCAGCAAUCUAAUUUCCUCCAGCCUGUCUUUCUCCAUAUCCUGUUAAGUUAGCGAAGUACACAGCAUGGAGUUUUGUACUGGUUUUCUCCUUUUAUUCUGUCUGUGGGAGGACAAAUGAUAACCAAUCUCACAUAAAGCGGGACAGGUGCUGACAGAUGAGAUCUUACUGAAAAUCUGCUGAUAUAAAUUUAACCUACAAAUGUUUUAAAAAAAAAAAAAAAAUUGACCUGGCAGAGUGAAUUUACUUUUGAUCAGCAUGUUGCAUGAUAACCUUGAAGGUUAAAAAUAAAAACAAAUCUCCAACCUUGCUCCAAACCAAAACAAAAACGCCUACUUUGGUGAGCCUGUAGACUACUAACUUGAGCAGGCUAACUGUUUUCUCUUACAAGAUUUCUUCUGUGUUGAUGGAAACAACUUUUAACACAUGAUAAAUAACCAAGGAUCUGUAAGAGAUGCUGGAAGGAGGUGGCUGGAGCACUUAGACCUUCACAGGUAGUUUUACACUUGCUUAAAAACAAGGAUUUAUUUCAGCUUAUGGGCACCUGACAAAAGCAACAUAUGGCACUUCGUGAAGUUAUCCCCUUGUCAGCUGAGUUUUAUUAACUUUUUCUAAGUCCUGUUUUAUGUCUGCCCACGUCCAAGGUAUUUGGAUCAACUUACGUGUCCUUCACUGGCUAUGAGAAUGCAAGUAGUUAACUGUGAGUUAUUGCUGCUUAGGCCCACAGUAACUUAUUAGAUGUGUUUGAACCCUGACCUGAUUUACCCAUGGUUACAUAAAUAAUCUGAGAUAGAGCCAUGAAGAGAGGCCAGGUUUCUUGGCUUCUGAUAUUGUACCCUUAUAAUGAAGUUAUUUUGACUCUACUCGGUCAGUUCCUGCCUCCUGAAUCAGUGUCAAAUUAACAUGCUGCAUCAGGUAAUGGUUUUGGCUGUUACAAAACAUGUUCUGUGUAUGCAGAACUUCUAUCAAAACAUCUUUCUUCUGUUGUGAUGAAGGUGGAUCAGGAACUACCUCUGUUUUAUGUUGAUAGUAGUGUAUUUUUUCACAUGUGAAUCUUUAAUGAAGAAGAUAAACGUGGUUAUUUUCACAUCUGUGGAUUAAAAAGGAUGCUGAUGAAAAAAAUGCAAAUUCAACAAGACGAUAUGUUUGAAAAAGGGUGGAUUGUGCCAUAAAUAACGAGUAGGUGUGGAGAGUGGGCUGUUUGGCACAGAGCAUCACAGCUGCCCAGUAAUUGGUCGUGAUGUGCCAAGGGGAGUGCAUUUGAGAGAGGGAAUAUGGCUGCAUUAUUGCAUUUACAUGCUGCAGGAAUCAUGUGGAUAUACAUCAUUUAUGCCUGUAUGUGCCAUUUCCAGUAGCUGGCUGACUGUCACUUCACACUGACUUAAGUACUAUAAAAUAACAGCUGUCACACCUCAUGAGAACCACAGUCUAUUGUAACAAUAUCAUAAAUCUGUUUAUUUGCUGUCCAUAAAGCCUAAGGACCACAGAAACGUACUCUAUGAAAUAAACAACAAGCCAUCCUUUAGUGCGUUUUUGUAAGCCAUACAAUUCUUUUCAAGGCAAAUAAAUAUACAAAUUAGGCUCAGAAAAUGUAUUCAUCACCUAACAUAUUUUAGAAAUAGAGACUUGUUUCCUCUGAACAUGCUUGAAGGUUUUACUCCAUUUCAAAUCUCAAAAAACAGCAAGCAAACAUGUACCCAAAAUGCUGCCUGGGAGAUUAUUUUGCCUCAGAAAGAUGGUUGUUUUGGUUUGGGUUUUUUUGUUUGUUUUUGUUUUCAGAAAUCAAUUGACAUGCUGUUCUUUCUGUAGACAUUAUGUUUCUUCUUGCCGGAACCGUUACAAAGAACUGUUGUAAAAGGGGAAAAAAAUAGUCCUCAAAAUUUUGUUGCAGUAAAAAUAUGAAAGAACAGCUAUAAGAGUGAUAUCUUCACAAUUAUUUCUUGUAGAAGUAAUUUAGCAGUAUCAGUGACUAUUGUAACUUCCUGUGGAAUAGUGCUGUCCUAGGGAACAAAACCUUCAUAGCUGCUCAACUGAGCUGUAGAGCUGUAUGAAGUGGAAGUGGACAUAAACCAAUACUAAAAACUUGAAAGAAGAAAAGAACAAGAUUUGCCAUUUAAGGCAGAUACAAUUGUGGAAAAAUUAUUUGAGGUAUUUUCCUGUGCAGGGUUCUCAAGUGUGGCUUUCAUAACACACUGAAGCAAAACAUUAGUGAUACUGCGUCAGAUUUAUCUUGUAUUUAUUAUAUGGCAAGUAAUUCUGAUGCUUCACUACUUAUGAGUGUUUUUGAGAAACUUUUGAGCAGCUUGGAUGAUUGAACAAUUAGUGGCAAAUGGAAUUCAAAGCAGGUGAAUGUGAAGUGAUGGUCAAGGGGUAAAAUGAAAAAUAUUAGGCCUAGAUGUGACCGUUACCAUUGACAAGACCUUGUAGCUGUAGGGAACAGGUCCAGGAAAACAUCAGCUCUGUGCUUAGGGGCAAUAACCAAAGCAAACCACAUUUUAGGAAGGAGUAAACAACAAAGAGAACAUUGUUACGCCACCUUAUAAAUCCAUGGUUUACCUGUCCCUUGACUACUGUGGGCAGCUCUGACCCCCUUACUUUCAAGACACCGUAUUAGAACUGGAAGGGAUUUGGAAAAUGACAGCAAGGAUAAUGAGAUGGAAGGGAUUGCACAGGAGGAUUCACUAGAGCAGAUUAGCAUUCUUCAGCCUUGAGAAGUGGCAGGGGGUAUGCAGACACCUGCAGUCGUCAGUAGUAAUGAGAUAAUGGGUAGGGGUUGACUGUUCACUGUCUUUUGGGCUACAAGGACCAUUCAGUUCCAGGAAAAUAAGCAGUUUGUCAUGCAAGAGAUGGUAGACUUAUAGAAUGUGCAAAAAAAUAGGGUGCUGACAAGACUAUGAGAUAGAUUCAAGGUGAAACGGAACAAAUCUUGGAAGAGUUUUCUGUUGGGGUUUAAUAAACAGAUAAAUCUCUUCAAGCUCAGGAAUUCCCUGAGCAGAAAAUAUUUGGAGCUGUGGGGGGAGCAGAAGGGAAAACCACCAGAUGUGCUUACCCUGUGCUAAUCUUCCUAGGUGUUCAUGUACGGGAACGGCUGGAGACAAGAGUAUUAGAUUUGAGAUAGUGCAGACAUUCUGAUGUUUUAAGACUCUUACAAUCCCAUACUAUAUUUAAGUUUGUUAAUCAUUCUGUUGCUUUUUGUGAUCGCCCUCUAGCUGGUUGGUAUGUCUUCUAGCAAGUGUGGUCUUGCUGGUGCAUUCCUGCUCAGCUCGGUGUAAUGUUCUCUGUGCAGAUACAGUUCUGUCUCCUGUUACUCCUGAUUUUUUCUGUACUGUGGUUUUUCAGGACAAAUUCUGACUGCAUGCUUAGUGUUAUUCAUUAAUGUUGUUAAUGUUCUUUAUUAGAACAAAGAACUUCAGUUGUUCUCUUGUUCGCCCAUGUUAGUAAUUUCUUACAAGCUAGACUACUGUGCCUGCUCUUCUGAGAGCUAGAUUGUAAAAUAAAUGGAUAACUGGAAGUGAUACAAUCUGAAUUAUACAGAUCAGAAUUAAAGAGAGAAUUAAGUAAUUAGAUCAAGAGAAAAGAAAGGCAGAUAUAUUUAAAGGAACAGUAUAAGAAAUUGAGUCUUAUUUGCAUUCCACAUCUUUUUUUUACAGUUUGCUAUGAAAAUAUAUAUGCAGGAGUAUAGAAAAUCCAGAACAGAGAUUUGUUACAUAUCAUGCGCCGAUUUGACACCCAGGUCCUAGCUUGUGAAGUCAGACUGUCAUGGAGAAGGUUUGGUCAGUGGACUAUUACUUACGUAGAACAAGUUCAGCUAGUUUGGAGAGGCCAGCAGUUAGGAUGGACUGCAGCUUCCUCAGUUAGUAAGUAGUAAGAUAUUUUCAGAAGUCUUUACCGUGUGUAUCUCUUAGAAUUACAUGCAUAUUGUAUUCUCCCUGAAAAGCCAAACACAUGGAUAAAAAUGCUUCUCAGAAAAGAUACCUUGGGUUCCGAUCUACUUUUGUAAAUGAUCUUCUCUUCUACUUGGUUAGUUUUAUAAAGACUGGGGACUGAUUGCUCAGGGACACCUGAGAUUGUCCCCUCUUUUUUUCUUGCUCUUACACGAACUCAUACACAAACAUGGAUACACACUCAGAGUAUCUUGUGCUGCUGUUACUGUGCAACAGUGUGCUCUCCCGAGUCUGUACCUCUGUGACACCGAACUGUAAGCACAGAUACAGCCAUACAUAGCUGUGAGAUACGGGGAGCACAGUCAUAUCAAAGGGUGUCCUGUCCUCCUUGCCAUCCAGAAUUAGUGUUUGUUUUGAGAGCAGCAAAGCAAGAGUGAACUGAGUUCCCAGAGUCACAGAUAUGUCCUAACCUAAGAAUGGUGGAACAGAGGUGGAGAAAUCCCAGCUCCCAGUGCAAUAAUGCUGUGUCAGGAAGGAUUUCUGACAAUAGAUUUUUUUUUCCCCCCUCAAGGUUCAGUUAUUUAUCACAAGCUGCAGUUGUAAGAAGUUAAUCCUCUAGGCACAGAAGGGGAGUCAAUGUUUACCAGCCCUGUAGCUAAUGAUAUACUGGAAGGGCUUAGAAUGUUUUUACUCAGACAGAACAGCACAGUGACACAGUAAAGACCUGGAAAACAGACAGCAAACUUUGCUUUAGAUAUGCAGUCAGCUCCAAGGGAGAGAUUCUUGGCUCUAAGGAAGAGACUCUUUGGAAGUUCAUUUGGCAUUGCUAUUGCUUGCUCUUUACCGCCUUUUAAAAAGACUCAACCUGUCAUCAUGUGGACUAUGGGAGGAAAAUAAUCAACACUGGCUCUUGGAGGGGUUCCCUAGUAGGGAUUAGGAAGGUGGCUGGAAAGAGUUUGAGUAAACAGUCUCUGCGUGCUGGGUGUAGGUAAGUAACCUUUUCAACUCUACUUGUCCUUGAGCCUGGAGCUAUUUGCGUGAUUGAGCAAGAGGGAUGACUGAGAAACAAACUAGGCAAGGAUCCAGUUGUUUGUGGUCACUGCCAGUUCUUCUGGUUACUCAGAACAAGACUGGUAGGAUUUAAGAAAAGCCCUGCAAGGUUGGUCAUAGGGGUGGGUGUUCAGAAACUCUUCAGUCACAGCGAAGAAAUGAGUGGUGGCUGCCUUGACUUGGUUUAGUUUAACAGACAGUGGAAGCUUUUCAUCAAAAGACUGCUAUGAUCUAGUUUUUCUUUCCUUGGGCAAGGGGUACAUGAUUAUUCAAUUCCAUGUGCCAGAGGAUUUAAAUGCAAUGAAUGACUUAUAUGAGAGUUUGGGCAGUUCAGGGCCUUUUCUCAGGGGCAUUGUAAAUUGGUCGGAGUUACUUCCAUGUAAAGUAUGGUGGAGAACUCUCAGGUCAUUGCAGGCUGAUGGGGCCAGAAAAUUUGUGAGUCACAGGGAGCAAGGCUGGGAACUGAUAAAUUAGCUGAAUAUCAUAGUCAGUUCCUGUCUCCUCAACAGGAGUGUGUAUCUUUGUAACACUGUAAUUGUCUGGAAAGACAGGUAGGUGAUUACAAGUACCUCUUAACAGCAAGGUUUUAGGAAAAUAUAUCGGUUAAAGAAGAUGUAAAAUGGAGAUGAGGGUAGCAGUAAAUGAGAUGAGGAGGGGCUACAGCCUGACAUCACAUCCCCACUGAAUACAAACUGUCCAGGAAGGAAGGAGCCUGUGUUCUGCCUGCACUUGCUGGUAGCUCUCAGGUUAAUAGUUAAACCACCUCCUUGGCACCAUACUUCUGUCUUUGAAUGGUAAGGAUAGUAAUUUUGUCUCCUUUCUGACUGUCUUUUAGUGGAAAAAGAAGCAUGCUUUUGAGGCAGCACAGUUCAUGUGGGAUCCACCUAAACAGCAGUGGGGGCAGGAGGCCCUGUCUCAGGGCAGGUUUGGUCCCUUAGCACUGGGACCAAGUUGCUGGACUUGCAGAACGUCUCCUUAGCAGAGGAGACCGCUCUCAGGUGCCCUCAUCUGGCUGUUUAAGGUAUGAAGAUGUCCUUCAGCAUCUUCUUCAAAGAGCCAGCAAAACCAGCCAAGUCCAGCCUGAAUGCUUUCCUUGACAAUGGAGCCUGAGCAUGGUAGGUGGUGUAUGUGGGUGUAGAGCUGGCUAGGAAGAGAUAGGAAAAAGUCUCAGAGACUUGGAGAAAAUCUGAAUUAUCUCUUUUAAAUAAUUCUGUGUGAGAUGAAAAGACAGAUUGUUUAAUUCGUAGUUUUAUUAUAAACUAAUGCUUUUCCUAAGGGAGGUAAUUUCCUUCUAUAAAAAUUAAUAGCUUUCCUUAGCACUUCAACAAUGGAAGGAGAAUUAUCCUCAGUACUUCCGGAUUUGCACUCCGGACUAAUGAGAGAUUAAACCUAGAUUCUCAGUGUAUUUUCACACAUAACUUUGUGUGCUCCUGGUAGCUUGCCAGGCCUGUUUGGUUUAGAAGGACCAUUUGAAUGCAUUGAAUUGUUUGCUAAGGUUUGUAACUAGGAAGCGAUCCAAAACAAGGAGCUGGUCCAAACACUCCUGAACUUCCUGGCAAGACUAACUUCAAAACUUUAUGGAAUCAAGGGUAUGACCUGGCAGCCGAUGGAAUUAGCAACAGAGCAUUCAGCAGCAAACUCUUCAAACAUCUCAGGCACAGCUUUACUGCCAACUCUUUUUUAUCAACUUCAGAGCUGCAAUACUUUCAAAAGAGAAUGGACCAUACAUGGAUUUAAAAUGCUGAAAGGUAACACUGAAAAAAUUGAUUUCUUCCCAAUCCCUCACUGCAGCUUCACACACAGAGAGAACAUACAGUGCAUCUGCACAGGCUUCAGCAGCACGCUCAGAAUAUAAAGACCCCCAGCCUGAACUGUGCCAGCGCUGCCUUGAGUGUAGUCCAAGGAGGUGGGUUAGAAAUGGGGUUGUCCUGUUUUUCUGCUCCUGAUUUCUGGAGAUCAGCCAGACCUUGGCAUACUUGAAAGCAAUUAGGGAAAACAAAACAAAACAAAAAGCAGGUCAAUGUAACAUUGCUGAGAGCCUGGCACAGACCAUUUAUCAUCUGAAUUAACCUUUCACACCUUGCCCUACUGAGAUGACAUCAUUUUUUCUCUUCUUUGUGAGGAGAACCUGGGAACAAAUGAUUGCUGAGGCCACGCCAAAAACAGAGAAGGGGAAACAAGAACAUAUUCCUGGAGGGCAAGAAAGUCUGAAAAACUGAAACUGCAGGAAAACAGCAUUUUAACGUUUCACCACUGGAUGGAGACAGCACUCUAAAACUUCAAUAACUUUUGAAUUUGUUGGAUGAAUGAAAGAUGAAUUAAAUGAACCAGAAGAUAAUGAUAUUCUUAUAAAUCCUGUGGAAAUAGCCAGCCAGACAGACUGGAGACUGUUGAAGUGCCCUGACUGAAGGAAAGGCUGAAGUGUGAGCUCAUAUAUUAGAGGACCCACCCUGGAGAGGGCUCUUGUAAGUGCCCCUUCCCUGGGAGAAGCUUUAAUCAGAGUUUGCAAUCAACCACAAGAUGAAAAUCCAUAGGCAACCAGAAUUCAUCCGUUCAAUAAGCACUAGAACUUUUCCUUAAAAGCAACAAACAGAAGAGCUGACCUACUCCAUUACCAUCUCUCCUCUGCCUCCAGGUCACAAAGUCUGUACAGAGUUUAAAAGCUGAGAAUUUUCACAAAUAAAAGCAGCAACAAAGAAAAUAA